UUCCAGACUCCUACGGGAGGCAGCAGUUAGGAAUAUUGGGCAAUGGAGGAAACUCUGACCCAGCAACGCCGCGUGAAGGAAGAAGGUUUUCGGAUUGUAAACUUCUGAUCUGUGGGACGAAGAAAGUGACGGUACCACAGGAGAAAGCCACGGCUAACUACGUGCCAGCAGCCGCGGUAAUACGUAGGUGGCGGGCGUUGUCCGGAAUAACUGGGCGUAAAGGGAGCGUAGGUGGUUGAUUAAGUUAAAUGUGAAAGCCCAGGGCUCAACUCUGGAACUGCAUUUAAUACUGGUCGGCUAGAGUACAGGAGGGGUAAACGGAAUUUCUAGUGUAGCGGUGAAAUGCGUAGAUAUUAGGAAGAACACCGGAGGCGAAGGCGGUUUACUGGACUGCAACUGACACUGAGGCUCGAAAGCGUGGGGAGCAAACAGGAUUAGAUACCCGAGUAC
rnacentral:rRNA from 1 species